AUAUAUAUAUAUAUAUAUAUUUUAUUUUAUUUUUUAAUUUAUUUUUUUAUAUAAUAUCUAUAUGAUAUUUUAUAUCAAUAGUUAGUUAUUGUUAUUGUCAUUUUCUGAUGAGGUGCACCAUCAUGUUAUAGUCUAUAUACACUCAGUGUAUCACAUUGUGUAGGUUUGCAUGCAUCUGUGUUUUCCUUUAUCUUUGAGUGAGUCUGUCAUAUCAGCAGUAUCAACAGUCCUUUGACAAGUCGUCUGUGCAAAGUCCACUGGAGUGCUUUGACAUGGUGCAACAGUAGGCUCUAAAUUGGAAAUACAGUAGCUACUAGAGCCUUUGAUAUUUUUACUUUACCAAAAUAGUUCUUUGACAAUUUUUUUGCAACGAUGGUCAUGUGAUUGAGUAGAGAACCGUAUUACCGCGAGCCGCUGACUCCAGUGUUACCUGUGGUCGACGGGUAUAAUGGGCUAGUUCUUCCUGCUGCUAAGCUACGUAGCUGCUGACUGCAGCUUCAUACUUAGCAUCCCAGUGUGAGAAGGAUCAUUAGUUUUCUAGUAUGUCGUUAAAUGACUUGUUGAGCUUUUUCUAAGUGAAGAACAUUUACUCAUAUUAUUUUACUCAAUGUGAGAUUCAGAAAUUGUUAUUUGUGAAAUUAGAAAAUUGUCAAUCUUCACUUGAAGGAAUCAAGGAUAUAUUAUAAAUAAAACAAUAUAGUACAGCAAUACAAAGUGUUUUUUAAAGUUACUAAAAAACAUAUCAAACUGCCACUGAACAAAUCCUUGUUCACAAUAACAACAAACAUUAGUAAAAUUCUAAAACCAACAAGGCAGAGGUUGUUUUUGUUAUUCCCAUUUCUUCAUUUAUUUUAGUAAGUUCUUGUUAUUGUGUUUUACUGUGUUUUUGUAAUUGAGAGCAAAUUUAACUAUGCAUGAGCAUACAGGGCAAAUAAAGCUGAUUCUCACCAUCUUUUUUGUAUGUAAAAAGCUAAAUAUAAAUAAAAGAAAAUGUUGAUAUAUAAUUGAUGGAGUGAAUUGUUCUUCAUUAAGCAGCCUGAAGGCUCUCCUUGUCCCUCACAAGAGAAACUCUUUAACCAGCCCAUGUGCUUCACAGCAUGACAUAACACAGGGUCAUCUUUUCAUGCUUUUUGUUUUCCUCCUUCUUAGUACUUGUCGGAUUUUACUAACUUUAACGGCUGUCUUUUCCUAUCUCCUCCAGAAUUCUCCUUCACACAUUCCCUUGACACCACAGUAUAUUCCAAAUAGGUUGAGGAAAAGUUAUUUGAAAUAGAGUUGCGCAGGCAAUAUUUUGACUUUUCUUUACGUUUAAAUGUGUUGUUCACGUUGUGCGCCACUCGAGGGCAGUGUGAUUCUUCCCAUGGGCGCAGGAGGAGCAGCAUUGUAACCUGGUACCACUCCCAUUUGGAGGGAUUGCCUCCAGCGUUUUGGACCUCGUGCUGACUUUAAACCUACCUUGGCUGCAGGAUUGUAGAGGACAUGGAGGAUGAUAAAAAGUAUUCCACCAUCGCACCACUUUCCCCUUAAAAAUGCACCUGUGAAAGUUAGCUUAACGUUUUGACCUUGGAAACGUAAUCUCUGAAAUCAGAAACUUCUUUUACAAAUCCAGUGCAAUGAAAAAAAAUGUAAUACAACAUAUUUCAACGACAGCGGGAGUAUUUAUUGUUUUUCGCGGUCAUCGCCACCGGCCCGUUACGACUGGACAUUUGUAGGUCUGUCUGGUUGAUUUUAAUUAAGCUGGAGACGGUUCAGGUCAUAUUAGCAACAAUGAUCCUGCUUACUGACAAGCAGCAUUAGAGGCUCCUCAACAAGUCUAAAUGUGCAUCGCAGUCACAUCGUUAACUUAUGUUGUGCCCUACAUUUACCGUCUGCCGUCACUAUUGCGUUUGACGAGGGAGAAACGUCUAAGCUGUAACAUUCGAUGCUGUAUUGAUUGCGUUGUUCUUCCUAUGUGUUAAGAUGGAGAAAACCGGAGAUUGCCGCGGUUUGUAAUCGUAACAAUUACCUUUGAAAACCAGGAGGGCUUGUUUUACAUUGACGUCUUUUUUUUUUCUAUCUUAAAGCCUGAUCCAGUCACGUACCGUCCAGUAUCGCAGUAACGAGUCGUCCAGGUUUCCGGCCCACUUCCUCUGCAGGGGGCGUGUGUGACCUGCAUGCGGACGCACUGAGCACGUGUUGUUUCCCCAUUAACUACAUAUACAGUAUUUACUUGACUAUGUGUUUUGAGACUGUCCCCCCCCCCCCCCCCCCUCUUCCUAACCAAUCUGGCUGAGCGUAAUUACAGCUCUGUCUCAGUGGGCACAGGGAGCCUGCUCCUCCUCCAGACAUUAAAUUAAAAAAAAUCUGGUCUGCAGCCCCCAAUGGGGGAGAGAGCGAAUUAUGAAAGCACAGAGGUGGACACUAUAAUUAUAGAGCACGAAGGGACGCACCACCCUGGAAGCACAAGGCGAGGUGAGGUGAUUAGACACGACGAGGGAAAUGAAAGUGAGCACCGAACUGGCGCUAACAGUGCUGUGUUACUUCUGCCGGUUGACACUUUUACAGCAAACACACAUGGCAAUAAGGGAGGGGGAGACAUCAUUUAUUUUCCUCUGUGAUACAGUCAUCUGGGUGUGAUUUUCAGUUGACUGCGCACAGUUUCAUUUUGCAGCUUUUGAUUAAACGGAAGUGCCCGCAAAUGGAAUCUGGUCCCCAAAUCGCUCAAUGGCAAGUACAUCAUUUUGAUUUGACAAAUCAUUAUAUUUUAAAGCCUUGAGGUGUCUCAUUGCAGGGUCCUGGAAAAUGCCUCAAUUUGGGCCCCUGCAACGGAAAAUAUCUACAAUCAACCUGUUUGCACUUGAGCUCUGGGGCGCCUGAAUCAUUGGCGAAAACGCCCCUUGGCCCUUUGCAUAAAACUUUGGUAAACAAGAAAAUACAUUAUGUACGAUAUUUGGGGUUUUGUCCCCCUUUGUUGUCCUUGCCUGAAAAAUAGCUUGAAAGGAAUGUGUUUCUGUUUCCGUCUGCACUCGGCCACUGAUACACACAGCAGCAUUAUUUGUAUUCCCGAGUCAUAAAUCACAGAGAGAACACAGGACGUCUUUUUUUUUCAUCUAUUAUCGUUUCCCACAAUUUUUUUUAUCUCACGGGAGGCCACAGAGAGACUGUUGAUAAAUAACAAGAACCCUGGACUGCGAACUCUGG
ensembl:lncRNA